rnacentral:rRNA from 1 species
UAAUACGUGGGGAGCGAGCGUUGUUCGGAUUUACUGGGCGUAAAGAGCACGUAGGCGGGUAAGUAAGUCGGUCGUGAAAUCCUCUGGCUCAACCAGAGAACUGCUGCCGAAACUACUUAUCUUGAGUCCAGCAGAGGGAAUCGGAAUCCUGGGUGUAGCGGUGAAAUGCGUAGAUAUCUAGGAGAACACCAGUGGCGAAGGCGGGUUCCUGGGCUGGUACUGACGCUGAGGUGCGAAAGUUAGGGGAGCAAACAGGAUUAGAUACCCUGGUAGUCCUAACUGUAAACGAUGGGCACUAGGUGUUGGAGGAUGUUGACCCCUUCAGUGCCGUAGCUAACGCAUUAAGUGCCCCGCCUGGGGAGUACGGUCGCAGGGCUG